CUUCCAUCAUUGUUUGAGACUGCAUCAGAUGUUGUUUGCUCUAACUCUACAUCUGAAGUCGAUGAUGCACGGGGUGAUGCUGCACGGGAUGAUGCUGCACGAGAUGAUGCCGCACUGCUAGAACCUCCACGACGACCACGAUGAGAUCUAGUACUCAUAUCUGUUCAUAAAUUAUCAUAUACAAAUUAUAAGGUAAUAUUCGAAAGAAAAAAAAACAACAACAAUUAAUCAAAACUGAUAUAAAAUUAUACAUAAAUAGACCUAUCACUCAUCAUUGUCGUCAUAAUCACCAUCAUCAUCAUCAGAAAAGACUAUGUCUUCAUCAGUUUCUUCUUCAAUCUCAUCAAUAUCUAUCAUAAAAAAAAAACAACAACAAUUAAUCAAAAAGUCCUAUUUCCGAAUAGAUUAUCUAAGAGAGAGGGAUGCAGUUUGUGAUGGAUGAGUUUAAUGUGGCAACUAGUGAAUAUGAAAAGAAAUGAAGAAUGAGUUUAAUGUAGCAAAAGACAAAAUUCAUCUCUCAAGUCUCAAUAGCUAAUCUGUUAUUACUAACACCAUCACUAGUAAAGAUCCCACAUGUUCGAAUAAUCGAAAUAAGAUAAGAAAAAUAGCAGAAUACUUAGUUUGGUACAAGAGUUAGAAAGAAUCUUAAUCAUCAAUGCAAUAAAAAGGGAUUAAAUUUUUAUGAGCUGAGAGGUUUAGACAGAAGAAAACAAAAAAUCAUCUAAGCCUUGUAAAAACAAAGAUGUCGAGUGCAAAUACAUAGAAAUCAAGCAAAUAUCACCGCGACUGCAAGUGUGCAUUGCAUAAGGAGAAAGGCAAAUGGUCGCACUCUGCUUCAAAACAGAGGAAUGUUUCAUUUCCAAAAAGAAAAGUUAGCAGUACAGUAAAUGUUCCCUUUCUAUGGCAGCAGCUUUUAUUCAAUAUUCUUAGUGUAUAAUUCAUCAAGUAGCAGUAGAAAUAGAUAGGAAAAGCAUCAACCUACAAUUAGGUUGCAUUACACUGCAAUCUAAAAGGCUUAGAUAAUGAAAUACCAUAUUAAGUGUAGCCUGCUUAUUUAAUACUCGCCUAAAACAACAAGCUAAUCACCAUAAGUAAAGAGGAAUAAAUGCAAAUGAACUGCAUAGUUAAACAGCCAUUGCUUAAUGAUAUAUUAUAGAUGUUCUAAUACUUUCUAUUAAAUAUGAUAUUGAUAUUUUAUAUAACAAAGAUAUCACAAUUAAACACAUCAAACUUUAUCUUAUAAGCUUUCACUCCAACUAAAAACCACCCACGUAUGGAUGAUCCAAUGUUUAAUGUAACAGAACAUAUAUCUAUAGAUCAAAUUUCAUAGCACAUCUCACCAUAUCCCACAACAAAUUAACUUUUAAUUUCUGAUGAAACAAUUUGUCAUCAACACAAACAACUAAAAUGAUUUUGGUAAAAUAGAUGAAAAGAUAUACUAUAAGUGAUUUUAGAUGCCACGAAAAAUAGAUUCCAAUUGCAACAGAAACAUUUACAUUUUGACAAUGGAUGAACAUAUAUUUUGGUAGAAAUUGAUGGAUUAAAGCAGCAGCUCCUUUUUCAACUACACUUAAAAUUUUCAAGAAAAAUAUAGAAGCAUUUCACCAUUCAGAGUUGUUAUAUGAUGAUCCUAAUAUGUUUUAGUUGGAUACAACUGAAUUUGAGCAGGCCAACAAUCAGGUAUUCGAGAUAGGAUGAGCUCCACAUAAACUGUAUCAAUAAAAAAGGAAGACUGUUUUACCUAAAAAUGAGCUGAAUAAGUUUCCAUCCCAUUGACUAAUUCUGAGAAAGAAACAUAACAAUAUUUGGCUGGUAAAUGCAUUAAUGGAUGCAGAGACUUGUCCAAUGUUAGGACCACAAUCGGCAUAUCAGUGGGAUUGAGCCUCCCUAGCAACUAUACAUUACAAUAUCACAAUUCAACUGGAACUAGAAUCGAUCAAAGAAACUAAUCGUCAAGUUUCUAGAUUGUUCAUGCAAAGAAGAUCAGAAAAUGAAUUAAAGCAGUAGUAAUGAUGAAAAACAUAUAUAUAUAUAUACCUGUGUAUUGAUUGAGAUGGAGUUGAAGGGAUCGAUCGUCAAGAGCAGCAGGCCAACAGCGACAGCGGCGGGCGGCGCCAACGGCAAAAGCGACAAUGGGAAGCUGACAAAGAUUAAAUGUACAAUUAGAGAGAGACGNCGACAAUAGGGUAAGGACUGACAAAGAAUUAAAUUAGUACAAUUAGAGAGAGAUAGAGAGAGAGAGAGCUCACGGCGGCGCCAAUGAGGAGGUAGGGUGGUGGACGGCAGCGGUGAAGGAAUGGAGGAGGCUAGGGCUUUUAAUUUGGGAAGGUAAUUUGGGGAGGGAAAAUG
rnacentral:lncRNA from 1 species